rnacentral:lncRNA from 1 species
UCCAGUGCUGCUGCCCGCGUGGCGCGCCAGCCUGCCAAACACGUAGAGGGGCAAGGGCGGUACAGCCGUACAGGGUCCGACCCUGCUGCUCGCCGCUAGGUUUUUGGGCGGCGGAGGAUAUCCGGGGAGGAGGGGUUCGGAGAAAAGGCGUGGCUGGUUGCCGCUCGGUGUAGGGGGGUGAGAGCAUGUCUCCAGCAGAUACGGAAAGGGGAAAUUUGGACACCCGUUAUUUGUUGGCCUUUGCUCAAACACACUUUUCAAUCGUGUCUUUACUGAGUAUCAUUAUGAUUUUGUGUUCAUUUGUUACAACACAUUUUGACGUGUGGAACUCUAUUGUCAGUCACUCAAUGGCCCUCUUCCCUCUUUGGUUACCAGCCGAGUAACGGCGCCGGACCCGUCCGUACAGAACUGCAGAUGGCCGGCGCAGCAGAACCACAACGAUCCGCCCGAAUCGAUGGGUAGGAAGCCACAAGGAGAAAGAAGCUGCAGAGGAAGAGAGAUCUCGUCUUCCUCGUAGAGCCCACUCCAGUCAUUGUGUCGCCGCCCACACAAGCGCUUGCCGCUGCGACAGUCGAGCCCCGCCGAGCUCCCCUCCGCUGCAGAUGGCCGCGCCGCGCCGACACCACCGCCCGACGCGCACCCCGCCGGCCGCCGUGCCUCGUGCUGCUGCUUUCUUCGCGCCCGACGAGCCCACGAGCUUGCCCGCCUCCACCGCCCGCGAGCCGUCCCUAGCGCCUGCCGCACGCUCACACACCGUAGUGGAGGCAGCCGCACGGGGCUGUGUCGGGAUAGAAAGCCGCGGAGUCGACGUGGGGACGCUGUUGGUGGUCAUCGAAUCGAUUCUCUCCUACGUCUGUGUCGCUUACGUGAAUUCUACACAAGCUAGCUACUGAUCGUUUUUUGAUAGGCUACUUGUAUGCACGCAUCUCGCCGGAGUUCAUCGCCGCGUCGGAAGUAAUUGGCGUGCUGCACGUGUGUUACAAUCUUGUGGUCUGAAACCAACAGGCGCAGGCCGCAGGUCAUGCCAGAGGAGGAAGAAGGUCAUUGAGUGGCUGACAAUGGAGCUCCACAUGUCAGAGUGUGUUGUAACAAAUGGACACAAAAUCAUAAUGGUACUCAGCAAAGACACGAUUGAAGGAUGUGUUUGAGCAAAAGACACGAAAUAACGGUGUUCAAGAGCAAAUUUCCCCAUACGGAAAAGAUGCUCGAUCCGAAAAAUAACCGUUACUUCAAUGGGUUAGGAAAAAAAAACUGUCCGGAAACAAGGUCCGAUCUGAAUUUUUUUCGGGGAUCCGAAUCCGCGGAGGAGAAACCCAAUAUCUUCGGUGUCCAAUCUUGUCGAAACAGGUGACCCGAUCUCUUGAAAACGGUUGGUUUCACCCGUGCUUGUCCAGAAGAGCCUUCUUCCUCCUGAAGCCGCCGCUGAUCCAGCCUCCUCAGGAUGCCGCCGCCGGCCCGCUGCUAGCUCGCGCGCCCCGCCCCUGCUGACUGCACCUCGCUGACUGCAACCAACUUAGUACUCAAACAUUUAAUUUGAUUAUUUCUCAGUUGGCGAGGUAGCAAAGAAGAUCUAGAGGUAAAUCAUCAAUCAUGGAUAAGAAAAAGAAAAUAGACAAAAAUGAAAAAAUUCCGCGACUGGAUUGAGAAGUGAGAGAGAAGGUUGAGAUAUCGAUGCUCUGCUUCGGUGCAUAGCCGGAAAGAAAAUGGAGAAAGAAAAGAAUAAAAAAUGAAUGGGGCCCACUAAAGAUUAGAGGCUAAGCACUAAGCUGCGUUACCAAUUCUUUGGGUAACGUUUUCGCCGUAGCUGGCGAAGUGAGGACGGGCUGGGCGAGCCAAAUUUUUUUAAUUUUUUUUGAGAGGUGGUGAGCCAAUUUUUCGGUAUGGCUCAUUUUGGUUGUAAAACAAACGGGUCCUUUCUGUUUGGCUCGGUCCGUUGGUGAGAUAUAAGUUAACUCUCUCUACCCAGUCUAAUAAUAGCUCAGCCCGUAAAAGAGAAAAGCAUUUCAACACCAUUCGCCCCCCUAUAGUCCCUCCCUACCUCCUCUUUUCUCCAGUCUCCUGAAUCCUGAUCCCCCCAGUCUUCCGAUUCCCCACUGCUAACCCUAGCCGCCAGGCAUUACCGGACAGCCAGGUCGGCGCCACCAUGCCCCCCACGCCGCCUCUAGUCCUAACUCGGCAACUCCUGACCGCCUGCUCGCCAUCGUGCGGCAGAGCCGCUUACAGGAACCGCUGGCGAGAAGACCCCUCAUCGGCUCCUCUCUGGAUACAUCGGCUCCUCUCUGGAUCUCGUUCAUCUACUGAGUCCGGCGCAAUGGUGUUCCGCCGUGUCACUGGGCGACCCUAGGCCUCGGCGGCGGCAACCGAGCCGUGCCGGCAUCCAGAUCCGGUCUUUCCCCGUUACCAGUGACAUAAAGCUUCCGCCUUUCCGAUCUUGGGCCUCGCCGGCGGCAACCGUGAAGGAGCUUCGACGGCGCUGUUGCAUGCGUUGGUGCAUCGCAACGGUGCUACUGCGCCUGUAGAUGAUGAAGAGGGAGAGGGCGCCUUCGGCAACCGUCGCAGGUCACCAUGCUUCUUCUCUAUACUCUUUUUAUGAAUUGUUUUUGGAUUUUUUUUCAAAUUAAACAUUUCACAUCUCCUUUUCGCCACAUUGUUUUAGGUUUUUUUUGGAGCGAGUGAGAUUUUAUUUACUAACUCUGUUCUUUUUUCCAAAAAACUUUGAACGAUAGAUCAGACUCUGCUUAUCUUUUCUAUGUCAAUACAAUCGUGCUAUGUUAUUUAUUUUUGCCUAAACCUAAUUUUUUAGGUCGAAUAUUGGGUUCUCUUUUGAGAAUCCAAACUGGCAAGUCCAGACAUUCUUGGCCCGUUCACCGCCGAGUUACACAAGUGUUUUCAUUGUGGGCCGACUAAUGUGUACGGGCUUUCGUGGGCUGACUCGAGAAUACUAGCAAGCACAUUUAGAUUCCUCUGUAAACACCAGUAUCCCAUCCCUAAAAGAAAAGGAACACAUACAACAGUCAGCCGUGUGCCCGUGUCACACUAAUCUACCCUCUAUAAAAACCGGCGACUCCAUCUCUUUUUUCCUUAUUUCUCUGGAAUUUCAUUGCCAUCCCCCUCCUCCCCAUCAGCUCUCUCCGCUUCUCCAUGCUUGGCGUUCCUCCCUAUAGCCCAUCUCGCCCAAUCCCCAUCGCUCCCAUCCCAUCCCCAUACCGGUCUCUUCUCUCGUGUUCAUCCCAACCAGGGGGGUGUCUCAAGCUGGCGAAAUGCCUUCCUUUGCCUCUUCCCGGGUACUGUUUCUUCUGUUCUAAGUCUAUGCGCGUCUUUGUUUGAUCUGGUUAGGGUUUGGUAGUUAGGCUUGUGAUUUGAUACCUGUUUGAUUCUGUUAAGUACUGUUGGGAGCUGUUCAUUUCGGGGUUUCGUAGUUAAUAACUGUUUGAUCAUGUUGCUGUGAAUUGCGUAUAUUGAACUGAUUUGGUCUAGGAUUUUAUUUGGGGUUUAUUGACUCUAGACAUGGUUCUAAUCAGGUGACUUAUCUUGUGUUCUUGUCUUAGUACCCUAGUUUAUUUGGGGGUUUGGCCGUUCACAAUCUGUUUGAUUCCCUGUUGAUUGCUUUUUUUUUUUGAAGUGGAUUCCCUGUUAAUUGCUAUGAUUGGCAAAAUAUUUGUCUCCAUUGAGAGUUACUGAUUUGAGUAAUCUUACGUUCUCUAUUCCUGUCAUGCCAUUUGUUACGUUUAGCUGGAAUUCCAGAUAAAUGUUAAGAAGUUUGACUUACGACAAAGCUAGGGCAUCUUAUAUUUAGGAACGGACGUAGUACCUUUUUUGUGUGCAGUACUGUGUCCUUCUGGUCUAAUGAGUUAGUGUUUUGAGUAUUGUCUGGUUCCUUCGGUCCUUCCUAAUGUUUAUAUUGAUUUUUUGGACGGUACUCUAUAUCGUCUUGGUUCUAAUGUUAUAACCCUCCUGUCUUUGUUUAGUUCAUUUAGAAAUGCCUCAUUUUGUGUUAAUGGUGCUAUUAAUGGGCUGUGCAAGUGUACAUUACUGUGUAUUCUCAUGAUGCUACUGCUGCUGUAAUUGUUUGUAUACCGCCCUUCUUGAUUCUAAUGUUGCAUCUAAUUGUUAUGCAUAUUCAUAGCGCAAGGGUUCAUUUCAGUAGGGAGUAUAUUCGCUGACACCACUCCUUUUAAUAACUGUUUGAUCAUGUUGCUGCGAAUUGCGUAUAUUGUACUGAUUUGGUCUAGGCGUUUAUUGAUUCUAGACAUGGUUCUAGUUUCGUUACGUAUCAUUAUGGUCUUGUCUCCGUUUAUCUGGGGAUUUGGCAGUUCAUGAUCUAUUUGAUUCCAUGUUAAUUGUGAUGAGUGGCAAAUUGUUUGCCUCCAUUGGGAUUUAGUGAUGAGACUGGUUUUUCUAUUCUCGAGUGUGUUGCUCCACUAAUCUGGAUCGUCUGACUGAAUGGAAACGGAGGGCAGAUAGGUAUGGGUGACGACAUAUGCAGUGGCUCAGCAGACGGCGUCUGACGGCAUGGACGUUGUUCACGUUUGUCCGAUUGAUGUAGUACGACCUACAAACAAUAGUGAUGUCCAAAAAAAAAAUCCCUGUUUCGUGCACUACACAGCUACGGAUCUGGAUCUCUCUAUACGUUGCACUAAUAUAAUUUUUCCUCCCCCAAACAAUAGUGAUGUCGUACCUACAUGUCAUGUCUGAUUUACUUUGAAUAGUACAAGUAUUUUCCAGAUGCGAUUGAAAGCCAUGACGCACGUGUCCAAAAAGGACGUGAUAUUCGACACCAUGACUGUUGUGUAAUACUCGCUCUGAUCAUAAAUUCUUGACUUAAAUUUGCUCAAAUAUGAAUAUAUAUCUAUUUUUAAAAAACGUCUAGAUACAUGUAAUAUUUCGACAACAAUUUAGGAUCGGAGGGAGUAGUAGAUUUCGAUUGCACCCAAAGGGUAUGGGUUGCAGAUCAGAGAAGUGGUGUGAACUGUUGAUUUUUUUACCAGAGAUUUCAUUUCAUGUGUGUCUAUACAUACAUACAUACAUACAUACAUAUACAUACAUACAUACAUAUAUAUAUACAUAUAUAUAUAUAUAUAUACACACAUUAUAUAUAUAUAUACAAACAUAUAUCGUAGAUCAGAAAAGUGGUGUGAACUGUUGAUUUUUUUACCAGAGAUUUCAUUUCUGUGUGUGUCUAUACAUAUACAUAUACAUCAAUUCUCUCACUCAAAAACAUGUGUUUUCUCUCUCUCUGCACAUAUAUCCAUUCUCUCUUAAGAAUAUGUAUUUUUUCUAUCUAUUCGAUUUCGCCUCUCUCUCCAUACACACACUUUCUCUCUCUCUCUCAAGAAUGUAUGUUUUCUCUCUCUAUAUAUACAUAUCCAUUCUCUCUCAAGUAUAUGUGUUUUGUUUGUCUAUUAGAUUCAUUCUCUCUCAAGCAUAUGUGUUUUCGUGUACUUCGAUUUAGUCUCUCUCUCUCAAUAUAUGUACACACACAUUCUCUCAAGAAUAUUUGUUUUCUCUCUAUAUAUACAUAUCCAUUUUCUCUCAAAAAUAUGUGUUUCAUCUGUUUAUUUGAUCCACGACUACAGUUUCUCUCUUGUACCCAACAUGGAAGGCAAAUUCUCCCGUACCCAAUACUCCAUCCACCUCCAACGGAGCAUUGGGGAAGGGCAUAUCAGUCAUUUCACAUUUAUGCAUUACUAGUAAAAAAAAAAGAAAAACCCCUCACCAGUCACCCCCGAGCCCGAGCCCUGUCAUCCCUGGAUUCUGUCUCCGCCGCCGCCCUCGGCCAGGUUUUUGGGCGGCGGAGGAUAUCCGGGGAGGAGGGGUUCGGAGAAAAGGCGUGGCUGGUUGCCGCUCGGUGUAGGGGGGUGAGAGCAUAUCUCCAGCAGAUACGGAAAGGGGAAAUUUGGACACCCGUUAUUUGUUGGCCUUUGCUCAAACACACUUUUCAAUCGUGUCUUUACUGAGUAUCAUU